AGUUGACCGCCUGGGGNAGUACGGCUCGCAAGAUUAAAACUCAAAGGAAUUGACGGGGACCCGCACAAGCGGUGGAUGAUGUGGAUUAAUUCGAUGCAACGCGAAAAACCUUACCUACCCUUGACAUGUCUGGAAUGCCNAAGAGAUUUGUNAGUGCUCGCAAGAGAACCGGAACACAGGUGCUGCAUGGCUGUCGUCAGCUCGUGUCGUGAGAUGUUGGGUUAAGUCCCGCAACGAGCGCAACCCUUGUCAUUAGUUGCUAC
rnacentral:rRNA from 1 species